GAUGAACGCUGGCGGCGUGCUUAACACAUGCAAGUCGAACGGACCGUAUCGCAAGGUGCGGUUAGUGGCGGACGGGUGCGUAACACGUAGGUGACCUGCCCUGGAGUGGGGAAUAAUUCCGCGAAAGCGGGACUAAUACCGCAUGAGAUCGCUCAUUCGAUUGGGUGAUGAAAGCAGUAAUGCGCUUCAGGAUGGGCCUGCGGCGGAUUAGCUAGUUGGUGGGGUAAAGGCCUACCAAGGCGAUGAUCCGUAGGGGGCGUGAGAGCGUGACCCCCCACAUUGGCACUGAGACACGGGCCAAACUCCUACGGGAGGCAGCAGUGAGGAAUAUUGCACAAUGGGCGAAAGCCUGAUGCAGCAACGCCGCGUGAGGGACGAAGGCCUUCGGGUCGUAAACCUCUUUUCUGAGGGACGAGACAAGGACGGUACCUCAGGAAUAAGUCUCGGCUAACUACGUGCCAGCAGCCGCGGUAAAACGUAGGAGGCGAGCGUUAUCCGGAUUUACUGGGCGUAAAGCGCACGCAGGCGGCUCGGCAAGUUGGGCGUAAAAGCUCCUGGCUUAACUGGGAGAGGUCGUUCGAAACUACCGGGCUUGAGGUUGGGAGAGGGGUGUGGAAUUCCCGGUGUAGUGGUGGAAUGCGUAGAUAUCGGGAGGAACACCAGUGGCGAAGGCGGCACCCUGGCCCACACCUGACGCUGAUGUGCGAAAGCGUGGGGAGUAAACAGGAUUAGAUACCCUGGUAAUCCACGCCGUAAACGAUGUCAACUGGGUGUCGGUGGUGUUACACUAUCGGUGCCGAAGCAAACGCGUUAAGUUGACCGCCUGGGGACUACGGCCGCAAGGCUA
rnacentral:rRNA from 1 species